AACUAAACUAAAACUAAUUCAAUUAUCCAUUUUAGGGACUGGAAAAGGAGGUAAAAGCAUUUGGGGCAAAAAGUUUGCCGAUGAGCUGAGUCCAUCACUGCGGCAUAAUGCAAGAGGAACUGUAUCUAUGGCAAAUAGUGGACAAGAUACAAAUGGAUCACAGUUUUUUAUCUGUUAUGGCAAACAACCUCAUCUUGAUAUGAAAUAAACAGUAUUUGGAAAGGUAAUUGAUGGUUUAGAGACCCUUGAUGAUCUAGAGAAACUCCCAGUAAAUGAGAAGACCUACCGUCCACUUACUGAGGUGCGAAUAAAGAAUGUGACCAUCCAUGCAAACCCCAUUGCAGAUAAGAGUGGAUAACUCCAUGAAGCAGGAAAGUUAAGCAUGUCCUUACUUACUGCUUAUUACUGACCAAGGGCAACAAUGUGUGUUAUCAGACAAGCAAAUGCGGAAGGAACAGCUUCACAAUCAAACAUCUCAAGAUGCAUCAGGAAACAAUCCCAAGAGAUUGUGUCAAGAAAGCAUUAUUUAAUUUGGGACAAAUUUUGUAUAAAACGUUUUUCUAUGCCUUUACAGUAGAGUUCUUAAACCUUCCAUUCUCAAAACCAUAAAUAUUAUGCAGAGUACAGAGCAAAACUUGUUAUAUUGAUGUACAUGAAGUCCAAAUAAAAAUAAUCUUGUUUACACUGUAA